rnacentral:rRNA from 1 species
UAGGGAAUCUUCGGCAAUGGGCGAAAGCCUGGUGGAGCAACGCCGCGUGUGUGAUGAAGGGUUCCGGCUCGUAAAACACUGUUGUAAGAGAAGAAUGACAUUGAGAGUAACUGUUCAAUGUGUGACGGUAUCUUACCAGAAAGGAACGGCUAAAUACGUGCCAG